UGACUGUAUUAAUGUUAAUUAAUGUGAUUUCGUAAAUUUUCUACUACUACGGCGAUUAUAUAUUAAUCGAAACUCGCGAUUGGUAAUUUUACGGCGAUUACGAUCAAUGUAGUUUAUUAAUUGUCGAUAUUGUGACGGUCUUAUUUGAUUUGAUUUUGUAAUUUUUAGAUGGCGUUUGUCGUGUGCCCGGAAGACUGCUUCGAUAAUGGUUCGACCCGUUGGCCGAGAGUGCUGGCUCAAUCAAUAGUGCUGUUAACAAUCUACAACGGAUUUAUUAAACGGACGGCGUUUGUUGCGUCCUGACGUGGUAUGCUUCGAUAACGGCUCGGCCUGUUGGACCAAAGUGCUGCCGGGGCUCUGAUCGACAACGGAUUUAUUACACGGACUGGGUUACCGUUGUGGUGCCAAGAUAACAACUGUGCUGGAGAUUGAUGACAGUCAUCGCUAUUGGAUUUAUUGCACGGGUAAUUUAUUUUC